GAAUCUUCCACAAUGGACGAAAGUCUGAUGGAGCAACGCCGCGUGCAGGAUGACGGCCUUCGGGUUGUAAACUGCUUUUAUGGAUGAAGAAUAUGACAGUAGUCCAAGGAUAAGGGACGGCUAACUACGUGCCAGCAGCCGCGGUCAUACGUAGGUCCCAAGCGUUAUCCGGAAUUACUGGGCGUAAAGAGUUGCGUAGGUGGUUUAUUAAGCAGAGUAUGAAAUAUCACGGCUCAACCGUGGAACCGUAUUCUGAACUGAUUAACUAGAGGGCGAGAGAGGUUACUAGAAUUUCUUGUGUAGGAGUGAAAUCCGUAGAUAUAAGAAGGAAUACCGAUGGCGUAGGCAGGUAACUGGCUCGCACCUGACACUAAGGCACGAAAGCGUGGGUAGCAAACGGG
rnacentral:rRNA from 1 species